CCAAUAGCGUAUAUUAAAGUUGUUGCAGUUAAAAAGCUCGUAGUUGAAUUUCGGGGUUUUACUAUCGGUCGGGCUAACAAGUCUGUACUGGUGUGUAGAACUUCUACCUUCUGGGGAACUAUCAUGUUAUUAAUUUAGCGUGGUAGGAAACCAGGACCUUUACCUUGAAAAAAUUAGAGUGUUCAAAGCAGGCUUUAAGUCUGAAUACAUUAGCAUGGAAUAAUAGAAUAGGACGGUGGUCCUGUUUUGUUGGUUUCUGAAUCACCGUAAUGAUUAAUAGGGAUAGUUGGGGGCAUUAGUAUUCAAUUGUCAGAGGUGAAAUUCUUGGAUUUAUUGAAGACUAACUUCUGCGAAAGCAUUUGCCAAGGAUGUUUUCAUUAAUCAAGAACGAAAGUUAGGGGAUCGAAGACGAUCAGAUACCGUCGUAGUCUUAACCAUAAACUAUGCCGACUAGGGAUCGGACGAUGUUAAAUUUUAUUGACUCGUUCGGCGCCUUACG
rnacentral:rRNA from 1 species